rnacentral:misc_RNA from 1 species
CAAGCACUACAAGAAAGAAUCAAUCAAGGGUCAACAACUUCGUAUUUUUUUCAAUAAAUUGGAACAAACAAAUUGGAAUAAACAUUUAAUUGGGGUGUUUGAAGCUCGAGUUGUCAGUCAACUUGUCUAGAGCUUUCACUAAAACCUUGGCUGUUUCUCUUCAUCUUUCCCAUUUCCAUUUCUCGCGUGUUCUGGCCUUCACUGCUUGAGCCAGAAGGAUUCAAACCAUAUUCACUAGUUGGUCCACUGUAUUCACUACUGGCACCAUACUCUUGGCUUCCCAAUGCCAUCUUCCUGAAUUUUUUAAUGUCCUCAUUGUAUUGGUUGGUGUCGUAGUCUGAACUACCAUAGCUGUAGACACUGCUGUGACCAGGUCUAAUUCCUUCAUUAAGAUCAGAGAGAGCCACGUCUCCUUCC